GGAUACCUGGUGUAUUUGCCAGACGGCUAGUUCUCUACCCGAUAAUUGUUACCUAGGUGGUUACUAGUCGCUGAUGAUGUGCAUGUCCGCAUUGCGGGAAGCCUAAUUCAGUGCAGCAACCACCGCCUUGAACCAUCGGGUUCAAGGGCGCCGCCGUCAGCGGUACUCUGGGGAUCCA
rnacentral:other from 1 species